rnacentral:misc_RNA from 1 species
UCCGGUUUGUCACCGGCAGUUCCGUCCGAGUGCUCAGCUUCACCUGGUAGCAACAGACAGUAAGGGUUGCGCUCGUUGCGGGACUUAACCCAACAUCUCACGACACGAGCUGACGACAGCCAUGCAGCACCUGUGUACGCGCCCCUUGCGGGGCUGCCCGCUCUCACAGACAUUCACGCACAUGUCAAGCCCUGGUAAGGUUCCUCGUGUACCAUCGAAUUAAACCACAUGCUCCACCGCUUGUGCGGGCCCCCGUCAAUUCCUUUGAGUUUCACCCUUGCGAGCAUACUCCCCAGGCGGUGCACUUAACACGUUAACUACGGCACAGAACCCGUACGGGCCCCACGCCUAGUGCACAUCGUUUACAGCGUGGACUAC